UACAGCGGCGCACGGGUGCGUAACACGUGAGUAAUCUGCCCUGAAGCCCGGAAUAACCUCCCGAAAGGGAAGCUAAUGCCGGAUGAGCCCACGGGAGCCUUGGCUCUUGAGGGAAAAGGUGGCCUCUGUAUACAAGCUAUCACUACAGGAUGAGCUCGCGGCCCAUCAGCUAGUUGGCGGGGUAAUGGCCCACCAAGGCUACGACGGGUAGCUGGUCUGAGAGGACGAUCAGCCACACUGGAACUGAGACACGGUCCAGACUCCUACGGGAGGCAGCAGUGGGAAUCUUGCGCAAUGGGCGAAAGCCUGACGCAGCAACGCCGCGUGUGUGAUGAAGGUCUUCGGAUCGUAAAGCACUGUCGCGAGGGACG
rnacentral:rRNA from 1 species